rnacentral:lncRNA from 1 species
UUGUAACUACAGCGUUUCCCUCUUAAUAGAUCCUCAAUAAGCAGUCAAUGAGUGACUCACGGAGCAGGGUGUCCACCUCAUCAGAACACCUGAUUGUGAGUGGUGCAGCUUCAGUGUGCAGGUAAGUACCUGGUAUCUCUCUUGGGGUCUUUGAGUUCAAUUUGCUGUAAGAUCUAAGGCUCAUCUGAGAGGUGUGGGGCCAGUUUGCAGUCCUGCUUUCUGUUACUCCCUCUGCAGAAACAUAGCACGAGAGCACAAGAGCACGAGAGAGGUGGGAGUUGGUGUCUCCGUUCCAGGCCACUGUUCAUUCACCUUGGAUUCCUUAAGGAGAAGACCUAAGAUUCUUGAGGUUUGGGCAUCCUGGCUAUCUGGCUCAAGCUAUAAACUCUGGAGACAACGAAGGGCAAGGGGAAUGGGACAUGAAGGGAAAAGUUUUCCACUUGUUAAUUAACUCCCUUAGAUUAGGGAGUUGCAGGGCCUGCAAGAAAGGCAGAACCAGCCAUCUGA